GCUAGUUGGCUAGUUGGUGUAAGUUUCUAUAAGGAUUAUGUAGUUUGUAAAUAUUUUAGGCUGAGGCAAACUUUGUGUGCCUAUCCUCGUAUAUUAAGCCAUCAUAGACUUAUAGAUUGAGGAACCAAAAAAAAUAAAGCAUGGUUUGUGGAGGAGGAAUAUGCUGUUUUCCUUCCCGUUUCCUAUCAUACCACUUACUGGAAGCAGCAACAUCAAGCCUCUGAACGUAUCCCAAGCUCUCACUACUGGCCUCAUGUCUAUAGAUAUAACAAGAUGUUCUCAAGAGAAGAAAGGAUUGGUACAGAGUACACAAUUUUUUUGAUGAUGAGAAGAAGCGUCUAGAAGAGAAACGUGCCCGCAUUGAAAAGGAACUGGAUGAUGAUGUCUAGGCUACAAUUGAUUGUCUUUUGUGUUGGAUUGUUUGGUGUUUUAUCCGCACACUCGUACUAAUUUAGUGGUAGCUUGCUGAUCUUGUCUUGUGUUCGUUUGGUGUUUUGAAACUGUUUUUUCUCUUGAUCUCCUAUGUAUUUUGCAAACCUACUCUACUUUUUUUUCUACAACGUUGUAUCUCCGACAAACAAAAUUAA